AAUGAACGUUGGCGGCGUGGAUUAGGCAUGCAAGUCGAGCGAGAACCCCGCAAGGGGGGACAGCGGCAAACGGGGUAGUAAUGUGUCGGAACGUGCCCUGAGGUCGGGGAUAGCGGCGGGAAACUGCCGGUAAUACCCGAUGAUCUGGAAACAGCAAAGGUGUGAUUCCGCCUUUGGAGUGGCCGACAUGGUAUUAGCUGGUUGGCGGGGUAACGGCCCACCAAGGCUGUGAUGCCUAGGGGAUGUGAGAGCAUGAUCCCCACCAUUGGGACUGAGACACUGCCCAGACACCUACGGGUGGCUGCAGUCGAGAAUCUUCGUCAAUGGGCGAAAGCCUGAACGAGCGACGCCGCGUGCGGGAUGAAGGCCUUUGGGUUGUAAACCGCUGUCGAGGGGGAUGAAGGCGUUCCGGUCCUCCGGAACGUUUGACAGAGCCCUGGAGGAAGCACGGGCUAAGUUCGUGCCAGCAGCCGCGGUAAUACGAACUGUGCGAACGUUAUUCGGAAUCACGU
rnacentral:rRNA from 1 species